rnacentral:sRNA from 1 species
CGCGUUCGUCUAGGCGCUCUUGUCACCUCGCCAUGCCGGAGCCAUCGCGGGCGGCUCCGGCUUCUAAAAAGGGCUCCAAGAAGGCCAUUACCAAGGCGCAGAAGAAGGACGGCAAGAAGCGCAAGCGCGGCCGCAAGGAGAGCUAUUCUAUCUACGUGUACAAGGUGCUGAAGCAGGUGCACCCCGACACCGGCAUCUCGUCCAAGGCCAUGGGCAUCAUGAACUCCUUCGUCAAUGACAUCUUCGAGCGCAUCGCCAGCGAGGCCUCCCGCCUGGCGCACUACAACAAGCGCUCCACCAUCACGUCCCGCGAAGUGCAGACGGCCGUGCGCCUGCUGCUGCCCGGCGAGCUGGCCAAGCACGCCGUGUCCGAGGGCACCAAGGCUGUCACCAAGUACACCAGCUCCAAGUGAGGCGCGUCCCGGCGCCCCGAACCCAAAGGCUCUUUUCAGAGCCACCUCCAAGCUCAUAAAGGAGCGUGCCACCUGGUCUGGUUGUGACCUGUGAUUCAAUUGGAGUAAUA